AAGCUGAUUUUCGGGUGUGUUCAUGCUUCAUCUCACGUCGUCAUCUUCAUCUCGGUUGUGCUCAUGCUUGUUGAAAGCUGAUUUCUAGAGUAAGAAACAACAAUCUUCAUCAUGUUUAUCAAGAACACCAAGAACACACAGAGAGAAGCAGGUUUGAAGAUCUUCAUCGUGUUUAUCGUAUGGUUCUAGAUCCGGACGGUGAUGGAUACAGGGGAAAUAAGAUCCAAUUCUCAGGACCGUUGGUUUCGUCAAACGUGGAUCAGAUGCUCAAGGAUCAUGACCAUGUUUAUGUUACAGCA